UACGUAGGCAGCGAGCGUUGUUCGGAUUUACUGGGCGUAAAGGGCGCGUAGGCGGUCGUGACAAGUCACUUGUGAAAUCUCCGGGCUUAACUCGGAACGGUCAAGUGAUACUGUCGGACUAGAGUACAGAAGGGGCAACUGGAAUUCUCGGUGUAGCGGUGAAAUGCGUAGAUAUCGAGAGGAACACCUGCGGCGAAGGCGGGUUGCUGGGCUGAUACUGACGCUGAUGCGCGAAAGCCAGGGGAGCGAACGGG
rnacentral:rRNA from 1 species